CAACUACUCCCUCUGUCCCAAAUUUCUUGUCUUAGAUUUGUCUAGAUACGGAUGUAUCUAAUACUAAAAUGUGACUUGAUACAUCUGUAUCUAGACAAAUGCAAGACAAGAAUUUUGGGACGGAGGGAGUACUUU
rnacentral:pre_miRNA from 1 species